CGGCGGGUAGGGCCGGGGGGCUAGCCCUCCCCUGCAACCCGAAAUGGGCUACUCGCGGGGGCCAGUAACCCCUAGGAAGGCGAAGACACGAACUGGCAGACAGUUAGGUGGCCCUUAAAUGAUCCAGCACCUGGACGGAGCUUGGGAGCGUGUCAUGCCUCUCGUAGGAGAGGCCACUGACAUGCUUACGGGUCGAACCGUGUCAGGCCCGGGAGGGAGCAGCACUAAGACCCGACUAAGCUGCUGUCCAUAAGUGUUGGUGAUGAGGACCUAGCUGGGAUGCCGGCCAGUGUCCGCCGACCUGGGGGAGCCGCCG
rnacentral:SRP_RNA from 1 species